UGAAGAUUUAAAGGAGAAUGGUUGUGACUGGCGGUGAGCACAAAUCCACCAAUCGCUUUGAACUUCCGGAUUACGCACGAUGCGGCCGGUGUGGACAUGAUGCCAUUCUGACCAAUCACCAGACGGCCUAUCUGAUACAGAAUUUCACAUCGAGGAGCUUUUACAUCCCACCGACUCUGUGAGACUGCGGGUGGGGGAAAGAAAAUGCCAAACUGGAGCUAGACUGGACCAUACCAUUAGGAGAGUAGGGGGAGCUCAUUCCAAACCUACUGUAGUAAGACAGGUUAAACAAGGUAUGAAAAGUCCACCAAGCUGAAAAAAAAAAACCCAAAUAAUUGAGGCCCACAAACAAUGGACACACAGAAAGCGAAUGGCGUUGCUCCAAAAGAAAACGGAAGUCAUAGAAGACCGCCCUCCUAUUCUGUCGAAACCCCAUAUGGAUUUCAUUUGGACCUGGAUUUUGUUAAAUAUGUUGAGGACAUUGAAAAGGGCAACACCAUCAGAAGGGUGCAACUUCAGCGUAGACCGCGUGGGCGGAGCAGCGGCAACCUGUCGCGUAACCUCAGCUUACCUGGGUACAGUUGCAGAUCUUCUCAGUGGAACUCAACGAGCAUCUGGUUUCCUAGAACUCGACUUGCAGACUCCCAGCAGCCAUGUGAUUUUCGCUGCAGCGACAGCGAGUCAGCUGGUUUCAGCAGGCAAUUGGAGUCUCCCUACAAAACCUCAAAGGCUUUUGACGAGCAACCAUUGGGACCACAUGUGAGACCGAAUCUACUGCGAGCCUCAAGUUUACCCCUAACAGUGUUACUGAGAAAAUACUCCACCGAGGACCCGACCAGCCCCAAUGGUUCAAGGGACUUCCUCUCUCAGGAAAACGGCUCUUCCGAGGAUGUCUUCUACAGCCCAGGAGGCAUGAAUGGGACUUUUCGGCAGCUGACUGCAGCUCUCCGGAGAGUUGGUGAGCUAGAAGAGGAGAUCAGGAUCAUGCCGGAACUUAAAGCACAGAUAUGUAUCUUACAGGAGGAGCGAGAGAGGCUCCUGCACACGUUCCAAUCCGAACAUGACAACACCAUGACUCUGGACUUUCCUAGAGGUAUGGUGAAGACGGCGGAGAAGAAAAAUACAGCAAACGACGACUGGAUGGAUCGGGAGUAUGAUCAGCUAGAAGAGAACGUCAAGGCUUCCUCUGAGCAAGCUGAUGCAUUUGCGAUAACCACAGAAAACAAUUCACAAGCAACUAAGAGAGAUCAUGAAGAUGGGUCCCUCGCUGAGGCUUUGCAGAAGAAAAUCACAGUGCUCGAGCAGAAGCUUCACGAACUCAAGUCUGAUCUGGAAAAGACGACAAAACUUCUUAAGGAACAGGAACAGGAGAGUCAUUACAAGGAUGAGAGAAUCAAUGAGUUGACCAAACAAUGUGCAAACAUCUGGGUUAGACCAGACAACAUGAGGAACACACCGGACCAAGCGAACAAGUCAGAACCAUCUGUGCAAAUGUAUUCACCUGAUUCUGAAUCUGAAUCGAGUAAAGCUAACCAGGUGGGUUCAGAGGAAGAACUUAAACCCUGUGCAGCAAGAGGACCUGCAGGAUCCCAAGCAGACAUGGAGCACCAUGUGAAAAAAGUCAGAAAGCUCCUACAGGAGCAGUGGGAGUGUCUUUGCAGAAACGAGGAACCAGGAAAAGAGUUGUCCUCUGAACAUCUACACCCACGCGUCUGCUCCAUUCAAACACAGCUGGUCUCUUUAGUCAACCUCCUUACACUCUAUAUAUCACCUGCAGGAGAUGCACCGCCAUCAGCUCAGGAGUCCAUGAUGGAGGACCACAUAUCUGUGGUGAAGACAUGGGAAAGUCUUAAAGAAGACUGUGGAAGAGACCGAUUUGUUCUCAGCGAUUCUGUUGAAGUAAUGGAGGGAAGCAUGAGGCCAAAGGUUCCUGCUGAGGAGGGGUUUAACCAAAACAUUUCCCAAACUGAAGAUCUGCCAAGUUCUACACUGACCACCAGAAAGCAAGAGCUCAUCAGGGAACCCACAGCAGAGACCAGACAUUUGAAAGUGGCUGGAGAACCUCACAAGGAGCAGGACAGGACAUGGGAAGCAAAAUGUCCAGAAGAUCAGGCAGUAGAAAAAGAUGUCAAGCAGUAUGGCACAUGUUCAGGAGCUGAAUCAGAAGAGGCAGAAGGAGGAUGGGGGGUGGACACUGACUUCAUGAACGCAUGUCACUUCUUAGAGAAGCACAUGGAUGAAGUUUCUGAACCAAAUGAUGAAAUGAGGCAGGCUCUGACCUCAGUGUUCCAGCAGUGGUUCCACGUGAGUGCUGAGGAGAACUCGCGUGCAGAGACGGUCGCGCUCUACAUUAACAAAGUGGCCACAGAAACGCCUGCAGUGCUGCAGUUCCUGGUCAAUAUGGUGGACGAUAACGGGAACACAGCCCUGCAUUACAGCGUGUCCCACUCCAACUUCGGCAUCGUUAAACUCCUCUUGGACACGGGUGUGUGUGACGUGGACCUGAAGAAUAAGACCGGGUACACAGCGGUCAUGUUGGUGUCUCUCCAGUCGGUGGACGCUGAUACGGAUAUAAAGGUGGUCCAGCAGCUGAUGGAGCUCGGGGAUGUUAAUGCUCGCGCAGGUCAGGUGGGUCAGACCGCGCUCCACCUGGCAGUCAGGCACGGCAGAACAUCCAUGGUGAGACUGCUCCUGUCACACGGAGCAAACGUUAACGCUCAGGAUCAAGCGGGAACCACAGCUCUGAUCAGUGCCUGUGACCGCGGACACGCCGACAUCAUCCGAAUUCUGCUGCAGGACCCUGACUGCGAUGUGAACCUCACCGAUAAGGGAAGUCGCAGCGCUCUGUCUCUGGCCACACAGGCAUCACACACGGAGAUCGCAGACCUGCUCAAAGCUCGGACCACCAACACUAAAGCCCACGACAAAUGCAAGAUGGCUUAGAUGCAAGAACCUGCUCUGUGGAGAACUUCUUGAACGCAUAGAACCCAUUCUUAAUUAUCAUCAUUAUCAUCAUCAUCAUCAUCAUCAUCAUCAUCUAGUCUGAAAGACGGACACGCGGUGUUAACGAAAGACGAUUUGUGAAUGAUAAAGGAGCUGAAAGAAAAUGGAGGCAAGACAUCAUUAAUGUAUGGCUUCAGUGCACACGGUGUGACAUUGUUAAAUCCGUAGCACCAUCACAUCUUAUUAAUUUUACAGUCAAUAGAGAUUUCUGUGAGACGCUCGAGCGAAAGAAGAGAAGACACGCGGUUCUGAAUGUUUUUUUAUAACAAUCCACAGAGAGAGAGAUUAAAGAGAAGCUUAAAGAGGAAAUGCACUGAGAUUCAAAUAAAAUAAAAGGAGAAACGUACUGAAGUAAGGCACUAAAACAAGAAUGUUCAUUAAAAUAAAGCUGCUGCACAAAAUAAGUGAAUAAAUGCAUUAGUAAGAAAGGGGGAAAAAAAAGAAGACACAAAACAACAACAAACAUCAAUAAGAAGACAAAACCUUUGGAACAUAAUUUAUAUUUAAGAAAGACCUCAUUGUUUUUAUACAAAUAAAUUAAAUGGCCAACGUCAUCUAAAAUCUUAUGUACAUUUACUUUUUUACACAAUUGUAUCAAAAUUAUUUGUAUGAAAACUUUUACAGUAAGUUCAGCUUUCACACAAACAGGCUCACACUCUCUCUCUCUCUCUCACACACACAUCCAUGUUGUAAAUAUUUGAUGGAGAGAAAAUUAAAAAAAAAUAUUGUUUUAUCCCCAAAGUUCUAAAUUCAGAUUGUGUAACUCCCUGAGACAAUACUGCACACUCCAGUCCACACGUGAGGUAAAGAACCUUGUGUACUUCCUGUUUCCUGUAAACAGGUUUCACCAACACAACACACGGAGUGUUCCACUGACUAAUAAACAACUUCUUAGCUUCAUUUUAUUACAAUGCUAACGUAGCAGUUGAUGCAGCGCUGAUUUUCCCUCCUUUACUGCAGUCUGGAAGAAAGGAGAAAUGAGUGAGAAUAACAGAGCGAGAGAGAGAGAAUUCAUUUCGACAUUAAUAAAUUCGAAUGUCCAAAAUGUGACCUCAGGCUGAACUAAUUGUCUUUAGGGUGAGGGUUCUAUACCCCCGCCAUCUGAUUACCAUAAUGGACUGUUCCAUCCAGUAAAGCUGAAGAAGCCUUAGUGAGUAUCAGAGGCAAAGGGUGUGGCUCUCUGUGUAGCAGUGUGUACUAGUGUUGUCAAAACUCACAGUUUGAGCAUCGAUGGUUGCUGAGGUCAGAAAUAACUGCCUUAUUGUUGUUGCUGCUGAAAUCUGAGUCACUAAGGCGCAAAACUAAAUAAAUAAAUAAAAUAAUAAAGUACAAAACGUGAUUACACACAUAAUGUGAUAAAAUGAAAACGUGCUCGGAAAUAUUUGCGAAAUUUCCUUUUUCCUUUAACCAGACGUUUUGUGAUUUAAAAAAAAAAAGCUUUACGUAAUGACUACUUCCUGCAGCAGCCUGCUGUUGCAUAGGGUUUUAUUAUUAUUAUUAUUAUUAUUAUUACUAUUAUAAAAAAGUAACAUUUGGCAUGUUUCCAUCAAGACUUUCAUGUUUAUCAU